rnacentral:lncRNA from 1 species
CCUUCCUUAUGUCUACAAAGCCUCUAGGAUAUACAUGACAUAACUAGGGUCGGGAUAAACCCCCGCCCACACAUGACUCAUGUACAAUAACAAAACAUAAGGAACCGACUCAGAAAGCUCCGAAGCAAACUGGAGCUCACCAACAAUAGCUGUAUGACCUGGCUCCUACUUGUGCGGUGUAUGAGCUGAGGUACCUGUGCCUGCAGCAUGAAAUGCAGGUCCCCCGUGAGGGACGUCAGUACGAAAUAUGUACUGAGUAUGUAAAGCUGUAAAUAAUCACAUAUGAUAUAGGAGCUCAAUAGAAAUCAGAAACAAGUGAAUAAGUCGUAAUAGGAGUGGACCACACUUACUAGAACUUGUGACAACCUGUACAUUGUAUUUAUUCAAUCACUUUACCUUCGUUCUUAUCGUCUUUGUAAUCAUUACUGUACUGUACUGUGACCAUUAGGAUGCCUCCAGUACAUAUCAACUGGGAUCGACCCAUGCUAGGCUUAUGCCCCUGGGAUACCACCCAUAAACACAUGAAAUAGGGAUCGACCCAUGCUAGGCUUAUGCCCCUGGGAUACCACCCGAUAAGAGAGAACUUUCAUCACUUAGUUCAAUUAAUCUUUGAGAUUGUUAUUUCGGUCGUCACCACAUUUUUGAUACCUUGAAACAAUGAUACAUCAAUAGGAACCAAGUAAUAGACCUUCUAUACAAUAACGAUGUAAUAAAGACUCAUUGGUACAUCAACAAUGUGUUUCAGAAUCAUCAAUAUCACAACAAUGAAAUAAGAGCCUUUUGGUAUAUCAAUGAAACAUUUUGACACUUUAUAGAAUGGAAACAACUUCGUUGGUAACGUAGAACAAUACAUGUUUUUGGACAACCUCGGAAUCUUACUUGAUGGAACAUUGGUGUUUUCAUGCCAAAGAACAUUGUUAGAGUAUGCUUUACAUACCUCGUUGUAGAUUCAGAUACCAAUUCAACACAACUUCCCGCCUUUACAAAUCACUUAUCUACAAUGAAAUGUUUGGCAUCUAGUAUUAGCAACCCAACACCACAAUUCUCUUCCAUAAUUCCAUACUACCAAUAUUUGCAAAACAUUCCAAAAACCAACUUGAACAAUAGGUUUAUGUGUGUAUAUGUAUAUAAUCAUCAUCUCAAUACCACAUCAUCAAUACCACAUCAUCACCCCAAAUUCCUUCACAAUUUAACAUAAUCCAACCAUGCACAAGAAUAAUCCAACAUCAUUUCCAAUCAUCUUUCAACAACAAUCAAAUAACAUACUUCUUAUGCUCACAUGCAUAUAUAUAUAUAUAUACAUAUCCAUAUAAAUAACACCAACAUAAUUUACAUCCUUACCAAAAAAAAUGGCCCUUUUGAUUUCGAAGUCCUGUUGGCACAAAUAAGGGGUGCUUCUCGAAGCCCUUGAGACGGUGAACACAACUACGGAAUCAAUUUGGAUUUUCUACGGUUGAAUCACAAGAUAAUUGGAGUUGAACUUAGGCUAGGGUUUCUUAUUCUUCAAUGAUUUGGAUGAUAAAUGGUGGAUAUAAGGCUAAGUAUAUGUAUAUAAUGACCAAUUUUCGUCCAUGAGGUGAUGGAAAAUGACCAUAUUGCCCUUAAAAAUUUAAGUAAAUCCGAAUCUGUCCAUGGUGGACUGUUUUGAUAGGCUAAAGUAAAUCGGCCAUAACUCUUUGCUCCGAUAUCGGAUUUGGGUGAAAUUGGUAUCGUUAGAAAGAUAAUUCAAAGGUAUUUCAUUUAAUAUAAAUUAAUCCACCCAGUUCGUCCUGUACAAGUAGUUAUGAUCGUUUGAAGUUGACCCUAAAAAUCUGUUUUGAGAGGCUGAAGUAAAACGAGUAUAACUCCUUACUCAGAUGUUGGAUUUGGAUGAAACCAAUUUCAUUGGAAAGAAGACUCAAAGAUCUUUCUUUUGAUAUAUGGUAGCUCAACCAGUUCAUUAUAUUGAGGGAGUUAUGAUCGUUCAAAGUUGACCCAAAAAACUGGCAGGCCUCAGUAGUUUCCUGCACAUUUUACUGUUCACAUCCCGGCCACCGUUUUAAAGUUUCGAACGAGCUCGCUUAUAUCCGAAACUUAUCCGUUUUUGGAAAUCUUUAUAUCGUUGGAAAGCUUAUUCAAUAACCUUCGUAUGGAACCAUCGACGGGAAAAUUCCGAUAUAAAUAAAGUCGAUUCCUAUACACCUAUAAUCAAACUAUACACUUGAAACCAUCUCAAAAUAAUCAAUACUCAUACUUAAACUCAUAUAUACCUAACUUAGGAUCAAUACAUAUACCCCAACACAUAUAACAAUGACUAAUGCACGUAAUUAAGUACGGGGUGUUACAUCCUUCCCCCCUUAAGGACAUUCGUCCUCGAAUGUGAAUGUAGUUAUUUAGCCGAAACAAGUUCAAGUCCACCAUUAACAUUCACAUCAUCACAUAAAUACUAUGCAUAUAUAAACAAAAACUUACUUGUUAAUGUUCUAACUCCGUUUCUUGAACUUCCUCUUCAUCUUUGAACAAAUGAGGGUACUUAGAUUUCAUUGCUUCCUCAGCUUCCCAUGUAAUCUCUUCCCUUUGUUGAUUUCUCCAAAGUACCUUUACUGAUGCCAUUUCUUUGUUCCUUAACUUUUUAACUUGGCGAUCUAGAAUAGCAACCGGUACCUCUUCAUAAGUAAGAUCCUCUGUGACCUGUACAUCUUCUAUAGGAGUGAUACGAGAGGGGUCACCUAUGCAUUUUCGAAGCAUUGACACAUGAAACACUGGAUGAACCAUUGAAAGUUCCUGGGGUAGCUCUAAUUCAUAUGCAACUUGUCCGACCCUCUUGGUAAUCUUAUAUGGCCCUAUGUAACGUGGGCUUAGUUUCCCUUUUUUACCAAAUCUCAUAACCCCUUUCAUUGGUGAUACCUUUAAAAAUACCCAAUCUCCAAUAGAGAAUUCCAGCCCUCUUCUCCGAAUAUCUGCAUAUGAUUUAUGACGACUUUGGGCUGUUUUUAGCCGUUGUUGUAUCACCUUGACUUUUUCUAUGGCUUGAUACACAAGAUCCGGUCCGAACAUAAGAGUUUCACCCGCUUCGAACCAUCCUAUUGGUGAUCUACACUUUCUCCCAUAUAAAGCUUCAUAUGGUGCCAUUUUGAUACUUGAAUGAUAGCUAUUAUUGUAGGCAAACUCAAUAAGAGGUAAAUGAUCAUCCCAGCUGCCUUUAAAAUCUAUAACACAUGCUCGUAGCAUAUCUUCAAGUGUUUGAAUGGUGCGCUCUGCUUGUCCAUCCGUCUGAGGGUGAAAAGCUGUACUCAGAUUCACUUGUGUUCCCAAACCCCGUUGGAAAGACUUCCAAAAGUUUGCAGUAAAUUGAGUUCCCCGAUCCGAUAUAAUAGAAGUUGGCACUCCAUGUAAUCGGACUAUUUCUUUAACAUACAGCUUCGAAUAUUCUUCAACUGUGUAAGUGGUCUUAACGGGUAAGAAAUGUGCGGAUUUAGUAAGCCUAUCCACAAUCACCCAUAUAGAAUCAAAUUUUCGAGCUGUACGAGGCAAACCUGUAACAAAAUCCAUGUUGAUCAUGUCCCACUUCCAAAUUGGAAGAUCUAUGCAUUGCAUAUAGCCUCCGGGUUUUUGGUGCUCAACUUUAACUCUUUGACAAUUUGGACAUUCAGCUACAAAUUCUGCAAUGCUCUUCUUCAUGUCAUUCCACCAAUACAUAUCUUUCAAAUCUUGAUACAUUUUGGUUGAUCCUGGAUGAAUGGAAUACCUUGAAAAAUGUGCCUCUGUCAUAAUCUUCUUUCUUAGCCCGUCUAUAUCCGGCACACACAAUCGGUUUUGGCACUGAAGUACUCCUUCUCGCGUAAGCUCAAAUGCCUUGGUCGCACCACUCUGAACGUUCUCCUUAAGAUGUAAUAAAAUAGGAUCUGCAUAUUGCUUCUCUUUCACUUCAGCUACUAAUGAAGAUUCCGCAGCAUUAUGUACGAUAAGCUCUUUAUUCGGAGUUUCAAGAAGGCGAACUCCCAAACUAGCUAACUGGUGAAGAUCUUUAACCAUCCCUUGCCUUUCUAUAGGCGCCAUCAUAGCCUUACGACUUAACGCAUCAGCUACCACAUUUGCUUUCCCUGGAUGGUACAAGAUAUCAACAUCAUAGUCCUUUAAUAGUUCAAGCCAUCUCCGCUGCCUUAAAUUUAGAUCCUUCUGAUUAAAAAUAUAUUGCAAGCUCUUAUGGUCAGUAUAUAUAUCAACGUGAACCCCAUAUAAGUAGUGGCGCCAUAUCUUUAAAGCAAAAAUAACCGCUGCCAGCUCAAGAUCGUGUGUAGGAUAAUUUUUCUCAUGUGGCCGUAAUUGUCUAGAAGCAUAUGCUAUUACCUUACCAUGCUGCAUCAAUACACAUCCUAAACCAAUUCUGGAAGCAUCACAAUACACUGUAUACCCUUCGGUGCCUUCUGGUAGUACCAACACGGGUGUAGAAAUCAACUUGUUCUUUAAAUCUUGAAAACUCUUCUCACAGGCAUCAUUCCAUUGGAAUUUGGAUGCUUUAUGGGUUAGCUUGGUUAAGGGUGCUGAAAUGGAAGAAAAGUCUUUGACAAACCUUCUAUAAUAACCGGCCAACCCAAGAAAACUACGAAUCUCCGUAGGCGUUGUGGGCCUUGGCCAGUUCUUCACAGCCUCUAUCUUUUGAGCAUCAACCUUUAUCCCUUCACUAGAUACAAUAUGACCCAAAAAUGCCACCGACUUUAACCAAAACUCACAUUUAGAGAACUUUGCAUAAAGCUUACAAUCACGAAGAGUCUGCAAUGCCUGUCGUAAGUGAUUGGCAUGGUCCUCUUCUGAUCUAGAAUAAACUAGAAUAUCAUCUAUAAAAACUAUCACAAAUACAUCCAGGAAUGGCUUAAAAACCCUAUUCAUCAAAUCCAUAAAAGCUGCGGGUGCAUUUGUUAGCCCAAAUGACAUAACUAGAAACUCAUAAUGACCAUACCUUGUUCGGAAAGCUGUUUUGGGUAUAUCUUUUUCUUUGACCCUCACUUGGUGGUAACCUGACCUCAAAUCAAUCUUAGAAAAGCACUUGGCGCCCUGUAACUGAUCAAAUAAAUCAUCAAUUCUUGGGAGAGGAUAUUUAUUCUUAAUAGUCACCUUAUUCAAUUGCCGAUAAUCAAUACACAUCCUCAGCGAGCCAUCCUUUUUGCGUACAAAUAACACUGGUGCUCCCCAAGGGGAAAUACUAGGCCUAAUGAACCCCUUUUCUAGCAAAUCUUUCAAUUGCUCUUUCAAUUCUCGUAAUUCUGCUGGGGCCAUUCUAUACGGAGGAAUGGAGAUUGGUUGGGUGCCUGGUAUUACAUCAAUACCAAACUCUACUUCUCGUUCAGGAGGCAAACCUGGAAGAUCUUCAGGAAAUACAUCAGAAAAUUCAUUUACCACCGGAACAGCGUGAAGAGUUGGUGGCUCCGCUUCUGUAUCCCUUACUCUAACUAAAUGAUAUAUAUAUCCCUUGGAAAUCAUUCUUCUCGCCUUAAAAUAAGAAAUAAAUCUACCUCUUGGCACGCUAAUUUCACCUUUCCAUUCAAGGACUGAUUCAUUUGGAAAAUGGAAAUAUACCUUUUUCGUGCAGCAAUCAAUUGUGGCAUAACAAGACGCCAACCAGUCCAUACCCAUUAUAACAUCAAAAUCUACCAUUUCUAACUCCACAAGAUCAGCCAUCGUAUCACGACCACAAACAGUUACUAUGCAGUUUCGAUAAACCCUUCUAGCUAUAAUAGAUUCCCCGACCGGUGUGGACACUUCAAAUGGCUUAACUAACAGUUCGGGUAUUCUUUCGAACUUUCCAGCAACCAAUGGAGUAACAUAAGAUAAUGUAGAACCGGGAUCAAUUAAGGCAUAUAAAUUGAAUGAAAAUAUAGCCAACAUACCCGUAACCACAUCUGGAGAAGCCUCUAAAUUCUGUCGAUCUGCUAGAGCAUACGUACGAUUUUGAGCCCCGCUAGAACUCGUGGCUCCUCUAUCACCUCUAACACGACCCAUUGGCUGUGCACCCCUUCCUGAAUAAGGCAUCGAUGAUGAUGAUGCAACAAAUGACCCCGUAGGUCGUGCCAUACCCCCUAUGUCCCUUCGUGGGCAUUCCCUCAUCAUAUGCCCCGACAUACCGCACCAAAAGCAAACAUUGGUCCCCAGCCGACAUGCGCCCAAAUGAUACCUUCCACAUUUAUUGCAUGGCUCUCGAGGAGGUCUUGAUUGGCUCAUAUUCCCUUGACCUUGGUACCCCACUGUCCGCGAACUCUGACUCUCACUUCUGUGCCCAAAUUGAUUUCCUCUGAACCCUUGGAACUGUGGUGGGGCACUAGCUGUAGAAUAAGAGGAUAAUGGCCUAGGUGGUCUAGCAGAAAACUGUGGUCUGAACCCUCUUUCGAAUGCCAUGAACUGCCCUGUAGAUCUGGCCCUCUUGGAAUAUCCUCUUUCUGAUUCCUGUGUUCUUCUCCUCUGCCUCUGAUCUUCCAUUUUUUGUGCAAAAGCUUGGAUUCUCGCUAUGUCCAUAUCUUUGUUCAAAGCAGCAAUAGUACAAUCUCUAACCAGAUAUGGAUCUAGCCUAUCCACAUAUUGAUGAACUCUGUCAACCAUAGUAGCUACAACAUUAGGAGCAUAUCUCGACAAGGAAUUAAAUCGAAGACUGUACUCCCUCACGCUCAUAUUCCCCUGACGAAGAUUUAAAAACUGAUCUGCACGGGCCUGACGAAUCUCGAAUGGAAGAUAAUGAUCAAGAAAUGCCUCUUUGAACUCCUUCCAAGUAGCUGGGGGUGCAUCAAUACCCCUAGAUCGUUUCCAGUCCUCAUACCAAUAUAUAGCCUCCCCUUUAAAUCUAUACGCCGCUAACUCCACUGUCUCUCUACCCGUUACAUGCAUAACAUCCAAGGCCCUUUGAAUUUGAUCGAUAAAGUCCUGUGGGUCCUCGUUAAGAUCUGAUCCAGUAAAAGUGGGAGGAUCCAUCUUAAGAAAAUCCUGUGUUCGAAGGCUAGCCGCCCUAUCUAUACCACUAGGACCUGCAGUAGGAAUGGCUUGCCCUUGAGCUUGCCCAGCAACUAUACGAGUCAAAAGUUGCACUGCAUUUCUAAGAUCUUGAUCAACAACAUUAAUAGGUGGCUCUGCGGAUAUAGUUCUCCUCCCCCUUAUUUCUUCCGGACUGGAGGAAGUUUCUGAUGCAUGCUCAGCUGGAGCCUCACUUUGAUUAGCUGGUAUAGUGGGUGACUUACUAGUCCCCUCUCCGGCAGCCACAUCUACUUGCUUACCGGUAUUCUUGCUUCUGGUAACCGGCAUCAUUACUAUAAUAAGAGAAACAAACUGAUUCAGUGGUCAACUAUGACUUCAUAUACAAUAUAAGCUCUAUCGCACGAUCUAAGACAUGAAGAAAAGAAACAAUUCCUAAAUGUCCAUAGCCUCCUGUUUAUAGAUGUGGUGCACAACACACCGAUAAACAAGACCCUACGUAGACACGGCUUUGUAGACUCACUAGGACGAACCUCUCUGAUACCACUUUUGUCACGCCCCAAAAUCCCAUCGGGCCGGACUGGCACCCGAAGCCGAGAAGGCCCGGGAGAACCCGUUCAAAUACCUGUACUUUCACUUACAUGUCACCAAAAAAAUUGGACAGCACUUCGUUGCAUAUAGAAAGGUCUAAUUACCUGUAUCAGCACAACACGCACAAAUAUAUAUAUAUAAUACUUGGCCGUCGGGGCCACCACAUAUACAAAUAUAACGUUACUAUAUAAACUUCCAUGACUUUACCCUUCCUUAUGUCUACAAAGCCUCUAGGAUAUACAUGACAUAACUAGGGUCGGGACAAACCCCCGCCCACACGUGACUCAUGUACAAUAACAAAACAUAAGGAACCGACUCGGAAAGCUCCGAAGCAAACUGGAGCUCACCAACAAUAGCUGUAUGACCUGGCUCCUACUUGUGCGGUGUAUGAGUUGAGGUACCUGUGCCUGCAGCAUGAAAUGCAGGUCCCCCGUGAGGGACGUCAGUACGAA